UUAGUAAUAUCUAUAAUUUUUAUCUCGUACUAAUGUAUUUCCAGAGUUGUCAAAUUUUUGAAAUUGAAUAUCACUCGGGACUAAUAAUAAAGGCGUCCAGAAUAAUUAAGUAUUACUAAGGUUAAAAUCUAGGUACCUAAAUAUAAUUGUGUUUGCUAGCAAACGAAAAACAACGUAAAUAAACGAAAAAAAUUAACAAACGCACAAGUCGCCACUACGAUUUUCGAAGGUUUCCCUUAAUUUCUCUGGGAUCUCAUCAUCAGAUCCUGCUUUCCUUAUUACGGUACCACCCUUGGGAUAUCUUCUUCCCAACA
rnacentral:misc_RNA from 1 species